UGGUUACGGUGCAUAAGGAAAUUCUUAUGCACCCUGCAUAAAUCCAGAAAUGAUUUCUGUGAGCUGUACUCCAAAACCAUUAGAUGUAAUUAAUGGUUUCCAGCACUCUGCAUAAAUUCCAGCCCAAUUAUGCUAAAACCAUUUUGCUAUGGAAAUGGUUUCUGUGAGUUAUACUCCAAAACCAUUUCUAAAUUUAUGCAGGGUGCAUAAGGAUUUUCUUAUGCACCAUAACCG
rnacentral:pre_miRNA from 1 species